rnacentral:rRNA from 1 species
CCUACGGGAGGCAGCAGUGGGGAACAUUGCGCAAUGGGGGAAACCCUGACGCAGCAACGCCGCGUGAGUGAGGAAGGACUUCGGUCUGUAAAGCUCUGUUAAUGUGGAAAAAUGGUAGCUGGUCUAAUAGGCCGGCUAUUUGAUGGUACACAUAGAGGAAGCACCGGCUAACUUCGUGCCAGCAGCCGCGGUAAUACGAAGGGUGCAAGCGUUGUUCGGAUUUAUUGGGCGUAAAGCGCGCGUAGGCGGACCUGCAAGUCAGAUGUGAAAUCUCGGGGCUCAACCUCGAAACUGCGUCUGAAACUACAGGUCUAGAAUCUCGGAGGGGGAAGGGGAAUUUCGCAUGUAGGGGUAAAAUCCGUAGAUAUGCGAAGGAACACCAGAGGCGAAGGCGCCUUCCUGGACGAGUAUUGACGCUGAGGCGCGAAAGCGUGGGGAUCAAACAGGAUUAGAUACCCUGGUAGUCCACGCUGUAAACUAUGAACACUAGGUAUUGGAGGAUUUGACCCCUUCAGUGCCGUAGCUAACGCGUUAAGUGUUCCGCCUGGGAAGUACGGUCGCAAGACUAAAACUCAAAUGAAUUGACGG